UGUCUUAUGUGUGGCAGGGAUUUGCAAUUGGAAUUUAAAAUGUUCAACUCAACGUCACUUUGGAGUAUUGAAGGAUUUGAGUAUAACUGGCAGUAUCUGGGAUCUGCAAUUGGAUUUUGGUCUUGAAGACUAAGUAUAACUGGUGAUUUUUAACUGGUUAUUAUAAUUUUUCUGUAUUUUCACCUUAAUCUUGUCCAUUUUUCUAGUUAUAUUUGGCAGGAGCUGGGAUUUGCAUUUGGAUUUUAAAUGUUCAAUUUAACAUCUCUUUCGACUUGCUAUGGGUUUUAAAUAAUUCAGCUUACCAUCUCACUUCAACUUAACCUCUCUUUCGACUUCCUAUGGGUUUUAAAUAUUCAGCUCACCACCUCAAUUCCUUCUAUGGUUUUAAAUAAUCAGCUUAGCAUCACUUUGGAGUAGUGAAAGAUUUACAGCACAACUGGUGACUUCUACCCCCAACACCAUACAGAACAAAAAAAAGAGUACACUAGAACCACUCACGUCUAUUCUACUCUUAUACAUCUGUGAAUCGCCCUUUUCUGCUUAUUGAUUGCAUGUCGGUUUUUGUUUGGAUUACUUCUACAUUUAUUUUGAAUGCAGGAUCUUAAGGUGGUCAGAUACACCCGGUUAGACAUGGUCAUUUGUUGUGUUAUGAUUAUAUGCUUCUUGGUUUUAAGAUCUCUGUUCAGUUCUUUGUGAUUUGUCAAGUUAGUAGAAUUCUUUGUGAAAAUGCCUCUAAAAUUUUAUAAUGUAGGUUAGCACGGUAAGUAACUGAAGUUUGAAAUGGAAAUGAUGCUCUUAUUCAUCUAUAUUAAUUUUCCUCCUCGGGGGACUUGAUUGCCUCUUAACAACUUUGCAUGGAAUUUUGUUGUAGCCUCAGGUGAAUUUUGGUGAGGGAAUGUUCUUGUUGCUAGGGAUUUGGAUAUUACCGUGGUAGCAAAGGGUUCAGGAGUUUUUUGUCAUUUAAUAAUUCAUUAUGAAUUACGAAGUUUUUUUUUUUAAUCGAGGUUUACUAUCAUUUUGCGAACUUGUUUCUGUGUAGUUCGCGAAUCCCAUUUUUGGCUGAUUACUAUCUUGGGGGAACGAAGAUCACAAUGGCAUUCAGGAGUUGGUAGCUGUUUCUGAAAUAUGAACUGCAUUCAGGAGUUGGUAGCUGUUUCUGAAAUAUGAACUUUUCUGAUAUGCCUUUUGUAUUUUUCUCUUGUUUGGAGAAUUGUGGACCAACUUCUGUGCAGUUCGAGUGAGCACUCUUGUAUGCGGAGAAAAGGGUGUUCAGGGUAUGGUUGGGGUGAUUGGUGGUUCUACAGCAGUUAUGGUGGUUUUUUUUUUCCUGGGCGCAGGAUAAUUGGUUUUAAUUCUUUGAUUCUUGUCUCUGUCUCGCAUCUUUAUUGUUAUUUGAUAUCUGUAGUCUGGUGAAGAUACUUUCCAUGUGCAAAUGUAGUGGUUGCUGUAGUAUGCCAUGGUUCAAGUGCACCCGUCAUCUUCUCUAGCAGAAGAAGUAAAAGCAGAACGAUGUUUUUAAGGUCUGCAUUUUCUGCUCAUCUGUGUUCCACUUUCGUCUUCCGUAUUUCUCGUGGAUUUGUUUAUGAAAUUUGUUUUACUGGCCCUUCUAAGUAGCCCUUCUGUGUGUUUAUUCUUAACUUUUGACAUACUACAGAAUGGUUGGUGCUAUUUGGUGGUUGUUACAAGUCAAUUUCUAUGCUUUUUGAGUUUUGAAGGAGCAUUCUUAUGCAGUUAUCUCUUGCAGUUUUGCAGUAAAUUUUAUGUAUAUCUUCUAUUCCAGUGAUUUUUUGGGAUUUGGAUUUCAAUUUGGGUCUGGAUGGGUGGUAGUGGCGCCAUGCAGUUUGUUAUGUGAUCUUUAGGCCUUUUUUAUAUGUUCCUGAUGGUUUCUUUUGCGGGGUGUGCAAUGGUUGAUACGCAUUGUUUGAUUUUGAAUGGGUAUUAGGAAGGUAUUUCGGAGGUUCUGAUCAUCGCUAAAAUAAAUGUUGCAAUGUACGUGUUGUGUUGGUUCCAGCAGUAUACGACUGGUAGAAGGGUGUGGUGUUUAUGUUUAGGCAUUGUUGCUCAAUUAUUGUUAUCCUCUUUUUGGGAGGAUAUCAAUGGACUUUGGUUUUAAUUCAGUGCUUUCUGGGAUGCUUGAUGACCUUUUGAAGGUGGAUUUUGCAAUAACUGAUGCGACAUCAUUGAAGAUUAUUGAUGGUUCAGUUCUGUUGCUUAGCUGCUUAAUGGUUCAGUUCUGUUGCUUAGCUGCUUUCGUGUAUGUGUUCGCAUAGCUCCAAUAUUUUGUCGUCCUCGUGUAUAAGCAUGCUGAUCUAUUCAAAUGGUAUAUAUUCUUGCACGCUGAACUUGAAAUCUGCUGUUUUGACCCGAGUUGCUAUUUGGAUUAUGUUCUUACCAAAUAAAAUUCGUCCGAGUUGCUCUA